ACUCUAUGAUGUCAUAUGUUUGGUAAAAUACAAAUCUAAAAAGUUAUAUCCCUUAGUGAUAUGUAUUAUGCAAUUUGACAAAAUUAGAUUGCUUAAUAUUUUAAUUAAGCUGUGUGUAUAUGUAACCAGAGAUCAAUCCAGAGCCUUGCAUUCUAAGCAUGUGUUCUACCACUGAGCUACACCCCCAGCCCACAAAGCUAUUUCUUCUGAGAUGUGUUUAAUAUCUUAUAUUUAAAUAAAAACACCAAAAGGUACAUCCUAGAGCCAGCCUAUACUGCAGUUCAAGUUGAAUUAUAUACUAAUCCUAUAGGAAUUCCAACUAUAUUUUUUUCCCAGAGAAACUAAACAAGAGUAAUUAUUCAAAGUAAUUUGGCAUUUGGGGAGGGUAUAAUUCCCUCUUUAUAUUAAAAAAUCUAUUGAAAAUAGAAGCAAAAGAGUUUAGAAUUUGCCUAGCCAAAUACAGAAUCCUUUGUAUUCAAGUAUCUACAGAAGCUUUAAAAUAAGAGUUAAAAGUAAAAACACACCUGUUUGUAUUAAGAUAGUUACCAAUAGGAUAAUUUAAGCUCUUUAUGCCAGGUCCUGUUUUAUGUGUACCAACACUUUUAAUCCUCACAAAGAGCCAGUGAAGGGCUGUUAUUCACAUUUUUGCAAAUGAGGAAACAGAUAAAGUAGUUAGUGUCUGAGACUACUCAGCUGUUAAGGGACAAGUCAGGAUUUGAAUUCAGUGUGGUUCUCACUCAAAGCAUAUGAAAUGAAAUGUUAAUAGAAGGUAAGGCAUUGUCAGUCAUUUAAGAAUUAUUUAUAGGCCAUCCUAGAAACCAUAGGCUAAAGAUUAUAUUUAGUUCAAUUGUCAGUCAUUGAUUUGAACCAGGAAGAAAAAAAAUUAAGGAAAAAUGUGGAAUAGCAUUAAUCGAAAAAUUUUGCAGUUUUGUGAUGCUAACUAAGGAUUGAUUUCUGGGCCUCACACAUGCUGCUCACUGAGCUACACCCACAGCCCCAAAAUUUAAAAAAAUAAAAUUGUAUAGAUAAAACAUUCAUGAUUCAAAAUUAAGAUUCUUCUCACAUUGUCCCAACUCUGACCCCAGCUACCCAUUUUUUUACCUAAUAACAACUGAUAUUGUAAUUUUGUGAUGUAUCCCUACAGAUAUUCGACAUCAAUAUUCUCACACACGUUUGUUACGUAUAUUUCCCCUCUUCUAUGAAUAUGGCAAAAUACUGCAUACAUUAAUAAAUUUCAUAAUUUACCUUUCAGUGUUGGGGAUCAAACUCAGGGCCUCAUGCUUGGGAGGCAAGUGCUCUCCACUGAGCAAAAUCUCUAAUCUCUGUCUCAUAAUUCAUAAAGUACACAAUUUCCGGAGUUUUGCAUUCACUUAAUAUUACUAAAUAUUUAAGAAGAUGUACAUUAUAAUGUUAUGCUUUGCCGCUAUUAAUGUUGG
rnacentral:lncRNA from 1 species